rnacentral:rRNA from 1 species
CCAAUAGCGUAUAUUAAAGUUGUUGCAGUUAAAAAGCUCGUAGUUGAAUUUCGGGGUCAGUAGAUUGGCCAUGCCACUGGUAUGUACUGGUCUCACUGAUUCCUCCUUCCUGAUGAGCCGUAAUGCCAUUAAUUUGGUGUUGCGAGGAAUCUGGACUGUUACUUUGAAAAAAUUAGAGUGUUUAAAGCAGGCUAACGCUUGAAUACAUUAGCAUGGAAUAAUGAAAUAGGACGUUCGAUCUUAUUUUGUUGGUUUCUAAGAUUGACGUAAUGAUUAAUAGGGGUAGUUGGGGGCAUUAGUAUUCAAUUGUCAGAGGUGAAAUUCUUGGAUUUAUUGAAGACUAACUACUGCGAAAGCAUUUGCCAAGGAUGUUUUCAUUAAUCAAGAACGAAAGUUAGGGGAUCGAAGACGAUCAGAUACCGUCGUAGUCUUAACCAUAAACUAUGACGACUAGGGAUCGGAUGAUGUUAAUUUUUUAAUGACUCAUUCGGCACCUUACG